GACGAACGCUGGCGGCGGGCUUAACACAUGCAAGUCGAACGGAAAGGCCCUGCUAUUUUGGGGUGCUCGAGUGGCGAACGGGUGAGUAACACGUGAGUAACCGGCCCUUGAUUUUGGGAUAACUUCAGGAAACUGGGGCUAAUACCGGAUAGGAGCUCCUGCUGCAUUGUGGGCGUUGGAAAGUUUCGGCGGUUGGGGAUGGACUCGCGGCUUAUCAGCUUGUUGGUGGGGUAGUGGCUUACCAAGGCUUUGACGGGUAGCCGGCCUGAGAGGGUGACCGGCCACAUUGGGACUGAGAUACGGCCCAGACUCCUACGGGAGGCAGCAGUGGGGAAUAUUGCACAAUGGGCGGAAGCCUGAUGCAGCAACGCCGCGUGCGGGAUGACGGCCUUCGGGUUGUAAACCGCUUUCGCCUGUGACGAGGCGUGAGUGACGGUAAUGGGUAAAGAAGCACCGGCUAACUACGUG
rnacentral:rRNA from 1 species